rnacentral:lncRNA from 10 species
GGAUUGAGGAGGAUCUUUAUUAUUUAGGUGCACCAGCCCAGGUGGAUUAACAUCCAAAGGACUGAGCCCUGAACAAAGAGUUAAGUUACCUUUUAAGCAUUUGGUGGGGUGGGGGAGAUCUGUGCAGGGGGAAGCAUAUUACAGAAGUGAGAAACAAAGACGGUUAUUCAAUUAAUUGAGACAUAUAUUACAUCAUUUUUUACUUUUCAAGGAAAAACAUUUUUUACAACUUGAGUUUAUCUGUCUAGUGACCUUGCAGCUGCACAGCUAGGGAAACAGGAUCUUCACAGUGCCUGGGAAAGGAGGAGAGAUAAGGCUCACUAGCCACAGAAAAACAGGCAGUUAAUUUUUAAAGGACUUCAGCUCCUUCUUUUUCUCAGGGGAAAUUGGGUUUUCUUACAUACAACUGAGUUUCUGCUUACACGUUCUUUAAUUUCUUUUAAUUCCUGUUCCAGAGGAACAUGUUAAACCUCACCAUGGGGUUAUACAAUCAGCAAAAUCCAAAAUGCACAAAACUCUACAGGUCGAGUGACCUGUCCAGCAGUUCGUCUCCUAAAUCCAGAAGUAAUCCUUCCCUUCGCUCUUAACCAGUGGAGUUCUCCAUUUAUUUAUUUAUUUUUAUUAUUAUUAUUUUUGAGACAGAAUCUCACUCUAUUGCCCGGGCUGGAGGGCAGUGGCAAGAUCUCGGCUCACUGCAACCUCCGCCUCCUGGGUUCAAGGGAUUCUCCUGCCUCAGCCUCUCGAGUAGCUGGGAUUACAGGCACCCACUGCUAUGCCCAGCUUAUUUUUUUUUAUUUUUUUAUUUUUGAGACGGAGUCUUGCUCUGUCACCCAGGCUGGAGUGCUGGAGUACAGUGGCGCAAUCUCAGCUCACUGCAAGCUCCACCUCCCAGGCUGUGCGACAGAGCAAGACUCCGUCUC